rnacentral:misc_RNA from 1 species
GAUGAAGAACGCAGCGAAAUGCGAUAAGUAAUGUGAAUUGCAGAAUUCAGUGAAUCAUCGAAUCUUUGAACGCACCUUGCACCCUUUGGCAUUCCGAAGGGUAUGCUCGUUUGAGUGUCAUUGUACUCUCACACUCUCCGAUCCUAUGGAUUCGGGGAGCGGUGGACUUGGGUGUUGCUGCCUUUCCCUGUGGCUCACCUCAAAUGCGUCAGUGCACCUCUUGGUUGGACAUAGUACGGCGUGAUAAGUGUCUUCGCCGGCACCUCGCAAGAGGGUGGCCGAUCGGGAGCUCUGCGCUUUCAAACCGUCUUCGGACAAUUUCUGACAUCUUGACCUCAAAUCGAGUAGGACUACCCGCUGAACUUAAGCAUAUCAAUAAGCGGAAGA